GAUCAUGGCUCAGGACGAACGCUGGCGGCGUGCUUAACACAUGCAAGUCGAACGAAGAGCGAUAGAAGCUUGCUUCUAUCAAUCUUAGUGGCGAACGGGUGAGUAACGCGUAAUCAACCUGCCCUUCAGAGGGGGACAACAGUUGGAAACGACUGCUAAUACCGCAUACGAUCUAAUCUCGGCAUCUAGGAUAGAUGAAAGGUGGCCUCUAUUUAUAAGCUAUC
rnacentral:rRNA from 1 species